CAGCAAAUAAGUUCACCACCAAACUCGGCUGCAGCUUCUUUCUGCUGAGGGGGCGUGGAGGCAGAGUCCAACAAUAUUUUAUCAUGGGCAAACCAACAGUGGAAAGCAGGAACAGAAGACUCCUGUCUCCAGCUCUAUUAUGGCCAUUAGGGCAGCCAGAAACAGCAGAAGAGCUACAAGGAAAUAUGUCACAAAAGUCAGAACCCAAAUUUCUCUUCCUGGACAAAAGGCUCCAAAAGAUCAGAAAGGUUCAUCCAUAAGGACACAUCACAGGAUGACUUAGAAUCUGCUGGCAAAAUUGAGCAGUAUCACGAAGAAACACUGCUCACAGAGUACUUUAUAAAAAACCACAGUUUCAGAGUUCUACCACAACUACCUAAAAUGAGAAUUUCUACAAAGCUGGAAGAUACAAAGAUGAAAACUGAACAACGGCAGCCUAAAGCUGCUAUGACAAAUCAAGCAAGGAAAAAAAUAACACAUAACUAUGUGUACUACACCAUCAGAUAAUACACAUGAAAACUCAGGGUAUUUAUUAAGUCACUCAAUGCUCUGAGAUUGCUGGGUGCAAAGCAAGACCAGAGGAAUUAAUUGAAGGAAAAAACACGGAACGCCACAAACUCCGUAGGAAGUCUGUGAGCCACAGCUGGUGGCAAGCUGGGGUUACUACCAAGGGCAAUCCCAUAAAAGGCUCACUCUUUCCUUAAACCUCCCUCCACAGGCAUCAGCCUUUGGCCAUCCUCAGAAGCAGAAUACUUGGCGAGUUGUUCCCAUGCCUGGAGAGCAUCACGUAAAAGGCUCAUGGUCCUCUCGAGGACACUAUAUCAGCUACCGUCAGGUUUCCAAGGACAGCUCACAGACCUCAGGAAAACAAAAUAAAAAAUAUACAGAAAGGGAAUCCAAACUUACAACCUUUUAAACUUUUCUCCCAAAUACCUGCAAGUUAGUAAUUUUUAUUAAGUGGUAACAUUGGCAUAAUUUAGUUUUUCUCUUCUGUGUGUAAACUCACUUCAGUGUGACAGACUGCAUUCAAAGGGUAGCUUAAUUAUAAUGAAGAAUAAUAAGCAAUCACAGUACAUAAGCAAUCAUAGAACACCUCUGAUUAGGUAUCUCAGGACACAAGAAAACAAGAGCAAAAGAAAAGAAUGUACAAUUUAUCUUUAGUCAGCUAAUCCUGUAAAUAAGAGCAGUGAAAAUCCUAAUUGCUACAAUUAAAAUCCUAAUUGAAGCUUACAUGUUGACUAAAAUCAUAGAUUUAAGAGGAAAAGCAAUUACUGCUUUGGUUGAUGCUACACAGGCAGCUAUCUCUAGUCAUUUGGAGUCAUGAGAGGUGAUAGUCCGGGUGAGCAAGUCAAACAAAAUUGCUUAGUUGUUAUGCAAUGUAGGAGACAAGGGGUGAGAGAGAAGGCAAGCAAAAAAGGGUGUGCUCCUCAGGAGUUAUUUUAACCCCUAGAGCAAUGAAAAGUACAGCACAAAUCAAGAGUAAAGCCUCUAGUCAUGUGGAUACCUCAAACUAAGGCACAAUGCAAAUGCUAGGUAUCCCAAUAUUUAAAUCUAACCAUAAAGCAUAUUUUUGCUGACUGUAAGUUACUCUAAUUAAUGGUACCAAUUCAGUGUUACAUUUACAUGGACAAAUUCCUUCUUCAAUUAGAGCAGCUAGCAGACAAGCUGAAGUAUUUCUUAGUUCAGAGCUCCCAAGCACUGAUUAAAUGAGUAUUUGUAGCACCCAGCUCUCCACUGCUCUAGCAGAGUUAUUAGGGAGAAGCACAAUUUUUUUUUUUUUGUCUUAGCACUUCUUUUAAAGUUUUUCCUGCUUUAAUAAAUUAAUCUCUUUUUUUUUACCAAGCUAUGGAAUAAUUACUGCUUCACCUGUUGACAUUGGCAGGGGGAGCAAGUUAAAUAACUCUCACAGAAAGCAGCCAUAUAAAUGUUGACACUGGUGAUGCUAUAAAGAAACAUUACCAGGAGAAAUCAAAUUUAAGCUUUCAGGUGCAGACAGGUCUUUUAUUUUCACCUUAACUGGCUCUUAGUACCCCAAAGCAUCUGAAGGCCCAACAGGUCCCUGGUUUCCCAGACAGUCCCUGACCAUCAUUUUCAUUCCUUCUUGGGAAGAGCUGGUCUUCAGAGCUGAUGUACGGCUGGGAGCAGCUGUACACCUUGUCUGGCCGCUACACAUGUGCUUUUGAUGGCAGGUUAAGGAGAUUUGUGACCUUGCAAAACUCCUGAAUGCUGCAUCUCAUAAAGAAAGGGAGACAGCCCCAGCAUGUUCCUGAUGGGGGGAAUUUUAUUCAUUUCUUUUUACACUCACCUAAAAGCCUUGCUGUGCAGAGUCUAUCCCCCAAAGGCUCAGUGGGACAUACCAGUGUGCUUAUGCCUCCUGUUUCAUCGGCAAGGAAGUCUUUGUGCUUGAAAUUUUGAGGCACAUCCACAUGCCUUCCAGCCUGGAGUCAAUGUACAGAGGCAGGCAGGAGCCUGAACAGAUCCAGCAGAAGAUUGUCCGCACCUACUCACAUACAUGUACCCAUCAGCUUCAGGAGAAGAGAGGAAAAGGAAUGCAACUAUAAAUUAAAACUAUUAAUAUGGAAAACACCUACAGUGCUUUCUGCACAGAACAGAGCAGCGAGCUACUGACAGCCACUGAUGGAAGCUCAUCAAUGAUUAUUUAUUGUAAAUGCUGAAAUUUACUGUUUGAUAAAAAACUUGAGACUAACCUCUUUAAAAGCUGUUUACAUUUUUAGUGGCACUUGAAUGCACAUGAACUUGGGAAAGAAAGCUACAGAUAGUAGUUAACAGUGAUCUAAUUAAUUUUUAAGCAUAAUUGCCAAAAAAACACUCAAAGAUAAUUGCCUCUGCUUUUGUGAUUACCUUGUACUGAGCCUUGAGAAUUAAUAGUAUCAAUUCUUUUAGAGGAAUCAUUCUAUUUUUACAAAAACCCAUGGGAUGAGAAGGGGAAAGAGCAAAAAUAGCAAGCAUACUGCCAUUGCUAAGUGGCUCCUAAUGAUUAAUCAUAAAUAUACGUGUACAAUUUCCUUUGCAUCCUGCUUGCUGAGAAAAGCAAGAAAGAAUAGCUCAGAAUACAGUCAGAAUUUUUUACGUGCUGUUUCUGAAGACAAAGCAAGUCAAGACCUACACAAGAUAUCAUUGUUUUCCCACUAAAUCAAUACAGUUGGAAAAGAACAAGUCUUCAGAACAGUUGCAUUUAGUUCAAGGAUGCAUUUAAGGUUGCAUUUAGUUCAAGGAUGGCUGCAUCUGUUGCACACAGGAGAGAGACGAAGGUGCCUGGCAUCCUCCUGCAUUUUGAACUCUGCAGCUGGGGAGCAUCCUGUAUAAUUUAGCUUUAUGAGCUGGUGAAUCUGCUCAAACAGGCAAUGAGAGGUCUGCAUUUAGCACCCUGACCUCACUGCAGGUCUAAACCAUGCACAUUUUUGUACUGUGCAAGUUCAAGAAAAGGAUGAGCUAUCCAGACCACCUUUUACGUGGCACAGACAGACUGCAGCUCCCUAAAAGGUAAAGCACAAGUUGCAUCUCUAGCAACAGAUUAAUAAGGCUGCCACAAAGGUUAUGAAGUUUGUUAAGUGAUACAUGGGUGAGACAGAAAGAGAAGUCAAAUUUCCCAUCCCCACAAAUCCCCACAUUUGUCAGGACAAAUUAAAUGUAUGUGAUACAUUAUAUGACAAACAUAUGUUCUGAGGCACAUUUAGGAGUUUCAGUACAUUGUUUCAGAGUUCCCAAUUAUUAGUAAUCUCACACAUUUUAAGGACAAAUCACACUGACAUUCCGAGGAAAGAAAAAGGCAGAAUUUUGGCACCAAGCCCUGCUGAGCUGCUUUGUAAUGCCAACACUUGGCUAUGUCUCAGCUGCAGUUUGCAGGUACACAGGUCACUGUCCUACCAAGCACAUCUGGCUCCUGCUAUGAUGGCUGAACCCAGCUGAAAUUAAAGGUUUUAAAUACAGAAGCUCUCAAAGGGUGACCUGGGGACGCUGGCAUCUUGAGUACAUUUUGGCCCAGGAUUAGAAGAAAACUACUUCAACUGAGAAAGCAGGUUUCAGUGAACUGUUGCUUGGGGGCUGAUAUUAUUUAACACAUCUGGAUUAAUAUGUAUGUAAAACAAAAUACAAAGGCACUAGAACAAAGAACUGGAGAGAGAUACUAUGGGAGGGCAUUAAAAAGCCAUGGAUGGCAAGAUAUAUUUAGCAGACAUAAAAGAAACCUCUUGUCUUUCUUGUGGACUCCAGAUACUCUGAAAGUAUUUGCUAAGGACAGGCAUCUAAGUGGCAUUGGGAGAAUAUAUGGAAAAAACUAGAGCUUUCCAUUUUUAGAAAACUGAGCUUUUUCUCUUUGUUCCCAAUUACUCUUUGCCCUGUUGAUAUGUCAUAAUUCUGUAUUUAUAAUGUCAUAGCCUUUUGUCAUGGAGAAUGCAGUAAAAAUGACAAAUAAGCCUGCCUUGCAACACACUGCAAUAUCACAAUAUGGGUUAGGAAGGAGCAAGGUUUAGUUUGAAUAAGAACCAGCUUAAGCUAUUAGCAAACAUAAGAUAAGCUCUGGUUAGAGGUAUGGGCUAUCCGCCUGCUCUACAAGCAUCAUCUGACCAUGCUCUAUUCAUCUUCUUGCACCUCCAACACUCUGCCUUCCACUGAUUCACAAGCCCCUGAUUCACUAUUUCCUCCAAUUUGGAUUUUAUUUCUCAAGACUAAUUCUCGUUUCAUGUAUUUCUCAUCUCUAUAGAAGAGGCUCAGGAGAUUAAAACACCCAGACUUCUGCUGGUGCAGUAAACACACCCCUUCCCCCUAUCCAGCCCCAAAAUGAUCUCAUUCCCAUCUUGGAUAUGCACAGUAAUAACAGCAACACAACUACACAGAGCUAGUACUCACUGUUAUGUGUAUGCUUUAAAAGAGGCUUUCUCUUCCCCAAAUAGAUCUGUUUUUCCUCAUUGCUAAUUUUGUACAAAAUAAACUAAAUGUAAAAAUGUCAA